CCUCCACAAAGGCUGCGGCUCUGACUCAGUCUUGAGGCAUUUGCUGUCAGUGGUGCAUAAAAAAGGCUUUUCCAAGUAGCCAAAUCAUUCACCUGGGAAACAAAGCCAAGUGAAAAACUUAGGUUUAAAUAUCAGCCAGUGCUGCAUGCACGCGUGAAGUCCUGCUCGUUUCUCAGAAUUAUUUUUCACCGACCAGUUCAGACAAGGUGUCCAUUCGUACGGCUGACUCCGUGAUUUAAGAGCCACCACCCCGUGUUGUCCAAUUCAUCAUUCCCUUCAGACAUUCUGUCUUCUACUUGGUGCAGAAUCUGACAAAACCACUCAUCUUCAGGCCUUCUCUGCUUAUGCCAACUGAGACACUGUAGCAAAAGUUCUUGGCUAGCAUCUAGGCUUCUUUCAGGGAAACUAACUUGGAGCUCUGCUGGGAAUCACUGGAAAGAAAUGCAAAAGUCCAUGUCUAUGUAUACAUUUUAUAAAUGUGUCUAAGGGACAAAUAAGUCAGAAGUCCCUUUGCUUAGUCUCUGAUUGUAUCUGGACACAUGUGAUUGCUUUCUCUUCUCUCACUCAUGUGUAGAAACCACACAGCCGGCCCAUUCCCCAUGCAGAGGCCCAGCAAGCAUGCUGUUUCAGAGUCUAGGAGCUCCUCAAGGCCUGUAGAAUGUACCCAGUGUCCUCUAGCGAAGCGGCAUGUGGUCGACAGACCUCUUCCCAGAAUAAUCUUUCUAGAAGAAGAGGAGGAGGAGCAAGAGUACAUAACACACCAAAGGAGCCAUAUUGAAUGAACUCUCCUGAAUUCCACCUCACCAAUCCCAAGAAGAGACUGGCAAGCACAGCUUAAGAAUCCGGGGUGUCUAUUCAAGCUACGAACCAAAUUCUCUUCGGAGAUUCCCACCCUCUGGCCUCUGUCAUAGCCAAAGCUGUCAGAAUUCAAGAGUGAGUUUCCUGGCAAUGGGCAAGCCAAACAUGAGCAUUCAAAGCGAAGCUACCCUUAAGAGAAGGCCUUUGUCUUUCCUGACAAUGGAAGGGAUUCACUGUGAAAAGAUUGCUGUGUGCCUUUACUGUUCACUUCCUGGUCUUUGAAGGCUCUGGGACACACCACCAGGAGAAUCCGUCCUCUCCCCACCACUACCCCAUGAUGAGCACUGCAAUGGAAAAGGCAACCCAGCCCACAGUCUCUGCCACAGAGGAUAAACACUUCCCCAGUGUGUCUCUGAAGCAGCAAAGUCCUUCAUGCUAGAUCAUGCUGGAGGCUGGCUUUGGGGGAGAGGACUUGAGGUUUUCAUCCAGGACUCUGACUGGGUGUUCCCAGCAUUACCUUCUGUCUGUUUGUUCUCUGGUGUUUGUUUUUCUACUCCCAUCCCUCCUCCUUCUCAGCCUGGCUCUGAUUCAGCUCUGAACUGGAGCCCCAAAGCACCGAGGCUGACUUCCUGGAUGAACCCCUCCUGAAGUCACUGGAGAGCUAUGCCAGGGGGAGGCAGAACUCACAGCAACCACCACAGACCCCACCACCUGCCUCCCUCCUUUCGGCUCAACACCAAAGGGCUUCACCUCAGCUCCUGCCAAGACCUGACAGCUCUGGAAGCCAGGAGGCUUCCUUUGACUAGCACACAGGUCUCCGCGCAGUGCUCAGCUGCCAAGCCACGGGGCCAGCUCUAGGAAUGUGUUUUUAAUAUUCAUUGUUCACUCUGUCUGUUACCGAUGUGUGCACUGCAAUUAUUCUAAUUCUUUGCACAUGUGUUGUUAUGCAAUGGGGGCCUUUUAAGCUGCGCCAGGUUUUUUUUUUUCCUUUCUGAAACCCAAA